rnacentral:misc_RNA from 1 species
GAGAGAGAGAGAGAAAGGAAGAAAGAUGAAUUUUAACGUAUAAAAUUUAAAAGUUGAGUGAGUUUUAUAUUACAUAUUAAAGUUGAGUGACUGUGGGGGGUUACAGCCACCUGUUUCUCCCUAAAACAACACUUGGAUUUUUUUAAAAUAAAGAUGGUGCGCUCAAAGUAAUUCAAAACUAAUUUGGUGUGCCUCAAAUGGUCUUCGCAUGUUUUCCUAUAAAUUAAGAUGUCAUAAAAAAAUAAGAACAGUUGACGUAAGUAUUAAAGGAAUACAUUAUUCAUAAGAGCUUGAAAUGUGGAUGGUGCAUUAGUUUGGCCAAAGGGCAUUACCUAGAACUCAAAAUGGCCAUGGUGGGUUUUGAAAGCAGUUUUCUCAAUGUUUGAGGGAUCCAUCCAUUCAAACCUGAUGGUAGCCCGAUCGAAGAUCCAAUUUAAGAAAUAAGUUGGCCCAUGUAGUUCAUCUACUAAUUUGUCCAACAUCGGAAUUGGAAAUUUAUCUUUUACAGUGCGAGCAUUGAGUUCCCUUGUUCCACACAGAAUUGCCAUGUAUUGUAUUGCUUGCGAACCAUUGAAACAAGUGAAGAAAAAGGGGAUUUGCCAGGGUGGAUGAUGUCUUGCUACAACAUUGUGGAAUGCGGUAUGGUCGAACCACUUUCGGGCCCGAGCCUAGUUGUAAGCAGACAUGAUAAUUUGUUUACCUUCUAUCCCAAAAUUCAUAGUGAGUGAAGUGAAAUCCCAUAAAAUGGGUCCCAAUGUUGUAAGUCAUUGGACACCUAAAACAAUAUCAAAUCCAUCCAAAAGAAAUAAAGAAGUCAACAACGAAAUGGUCAUGAUCAACUACCGCCUUGCAUAGACACUGUGAAUUCUCUCCAUUGGCAGCUGAAUCACUCAUUCCUCUUUGAGGUUGGGCAAAUAGGCCAAGCUGUUAUGUUGCUGUGUAACUAACAAAGUUUUGUGUGCAAUCGAACACCUGUAAUGAAUGAUCUUUAAUAAUAGCUUUCAAUUGCAUAGUGCAAGCAUGAUGUUUCUUGUUAUUGCAUGCAAGGAAAUUUCGGGUUCCCUUGUUUCAG